UACGGAGGGUGCGAGCGUUGUCCGGAAUCACUGGGCGUAAAGGGUGCGUAGGCGGCGCAGUAAGUUGGGUGUGAAAUCCCUCGGCUUAACCGGGGAAUUGCGCCCAAAACUACUGUGCUCGAGGGAGGUAGAGGUGAGCGGAACUUAGGGUGGAGCGGUGAAAUGUGUUGAUAUCCUAAGGAACACCGGUGGCGAAAGCGGCUCACUGGACCUCUUCUGACGCUGAGGCACGAAAGCUAGGGUAGCAAACGGG
rnacentral:rRNA from 1 species